CCCAGGCUACUGUGGGAGGUGAGGGAGGAGAUUGCUGAGCCUCUGGCGAUGAUGUUUGCAUCAUCAAUGGGGAUGGGAGAGGUUCUGGAGGAUUGGAGGGUUGCAAAUGUUGUUCCUUUAUUCAAGAAAGGGAUUCGAGAUAGCCCAGGAAAUUAUAGACCAGUGAGUCUUACCUCAGUGGUUGGUAAGUUGAUGGAGAAGAUCCUGAGAGGAAGGAUUUAUGAACAUUUGCAGAGAUAUAAUAUGAUUAGGAAUAGUCAGCGUGGCUUUGUCAAGGGCAGGUCAUGCCUUAAAAGUUGAAUUGAAUUUUUUAAGGAUAUAACUCAACACAUUGAUGAAGGAAGAGCUGUAGAUAUAGUGUAUAUGGAUUUCAGCAAGGCAUUUGAUAAGGUACCCCAUUCAAGGCUUAUUGGGAAAGUAAGGAGGCACGGGAUCCAAGGGGACAUUGCUUUGUGGAUCCAGAACUGGCUUGCCCACAGAAAGGCAAAGAGUGGUUGUAGAUGGGUUAUAUUCUGCAUGGACGCCGGUCACCAGUGGAGUGCCUCAGGGACCUGUUCUGGGACCCUUACUCUUCAUGAUUUUUAUAAGUGAACUGGACGACGAAGUGGAGGGAUGAGUUAGUAAGUUUGCUGAUGACACAAAGCUUGGGGGUGUUGUGGAUAGUGUGGAGGGUUGUCAGAGGUUACACUGGGACAUUGAUAGGAUGCAAAACUGGACUGAGAAAUGGCAGAUGGAAUUCAACCCAGAUAAGUGUGAAGUGGUUCAUUUUGGUAGGUCAAAUAUGGUGGCAGAAUAUAGCAUUAAUGGUAAGACUCUUGGCAGUGUGGAGGAUCAAAGGGAUCUUGGGGUCCGAGUCCAUAGGACACUCAAAGCAGCUGCGCAGGUUGACUUUGUGGUUAAGAAGGCAUACGGUGUAUUGGCCUUCAUCAAUCGUGGAAUUGAAUUUAGGAUCCGAGAGGUAAUGUUGCAGCUAUAUAGGACCCUGGUCAGACUCCACUUGGAGUACUGUGCUCAGUUCUGGUCGCCUCAUUCCAGGAAGGGUGUGGAAGCCAUAGAAAGGGUGCAGAGGAGAUUUACAAGGAUGUUGCCUGGACUGGGCAGCAUAACUUAUGAGAGUAGGUUGAAUGAACUCAGCCUUUUCUCCUUGGAGCGACGGAGGAUGAGAGGUGACCUGAUAGAGGUGUAUAAGUUGAUGAGAGGCAUUGAUUGUGUGGAAAGUCAGAGGCUUCUUCCCAGGGCUGAAAUGGUUGCCACAAGAAGACACAGGUUUAAGGUGCUGGGGAGUAAAUUCAGAGGAGAUGUCAGGGGUAAGUUUUUUACUCAGAGAGUGCUGAGUGCGUGGAAUGGGCUGCUGGCAACAGUGGUGGAGGCGGAUACAACAGGGUCUUUUAAGAGACUUUUGGAUAGGUAUAUGGAGCUCAGAAAAAUAGAGGGCUAUAGGUAAGCCUAGUAAUUUCUAAGGUAGGGACAUGUUCGGCACAACUUUGUAGGCCGAAGGCCCUGUAUUGUGCUGUGGGUUUUCUAUGUUUCUAUGUUUCUAACUCCUCUCUCAUGCCUCUAUAAUUCCCUUUACUCCACUAUUAGGUAUCGGUUAGUCUCAUGAGACCAUGGAUUUGCACCUUGGAAGAUUUCCAGGGUGCAGGCCUCGGCAAGGUUGUAUGGAAGACCGGCAGUUGCCCAUGCUGCAAGUCUCCCCUCUCCACGCCACUGAUGUUGGCCAAGAGAAGGGCAUUAGGAUCCUUACAGUUUGGCACUGGUGUCGUCACAGAGCAAUGUGUGGUUAAGUGCCACUAUAAUACACAUACAUCUGACUUUAGCUUCUCCUUCUCAAAUUUCAGAGUGAAUUUGAUCAUAUUAUUAUCACCUUCAGUCCUGUAUUCACCCUUUUUGAUUUUGUCCACCUUUUACAUUGCAACUCAUCCUGUUGACUGCAAUUUUGCCUUAUCAUCAGCCUCUCGUUGUUGGAGUCACUCUACACAUUGCCUCUGUUUGUAAACCAACUACUUAAUCUUCAGUGCUAUCACUCUGGUUCCCAUCCCCCUGCACUCCAGGUUAUUGGACCCACUCAGGUUCAGGUGUAGCCUAUCCCUUUUGUACAGGUCAUACCUUACCAGAAGAGAUGCCAAUGAUCCAGAAAUCUCAACCCCUCCCCCAUGCACCAGUACCUCAGCCAUGCAUUCAUGUGUGUAAUCAUUCUAUUCCUACCCUCACUGGCAUAUGACACAGGUAGAGAUUACUACCCUGGAGGUCCUGUUUUUUAGUUUUCUACCUACUUCUCUAAAAUGUCUCUUUAGGACCUCCUCACCUUUUCUACCUAUGUCAUUGGUGCUAAUAUGCGCCAGGAAUUCUGGCUGCUCACCCUCACCCUUGAGAAUGCUGUGGACCCGAUCCAAGACACCCUGAUCCUGGCAUAGGGAAGCAACAUACCAUCCAGAUAUCUCUAUUGUGCCCAGAGAACCUCAUCUCUGUUCCUCUGACUAAGGGAUCUCCUAUCAACACUGCGGACAGUUUUACCUCUUUGAUCUUCUGAGACUGCUUAUGUUCAGGAGUUUACCUGUCACUGGACACUCAAGAGACUACAGAUACUGGAACCUGGAGCAAUACAAAAAGCGCCGGAGGAUCUCAGUGGAUUAGGAAGCAUCUAUGGAGGGAAAUGGACAGUGGAUGUUUUGGAUCAACACAAUUCAUCAAGGGUCCCCAGUUUUUUGGCUCUGAAACCAGAUCCACCGUGGCAUUCACAGGAAAAUAAAGAAAUAUAACGGAAUUUGUGAAAAACUAUACAUAAAUAAAGACCAACGAACAAUCAGCAUGCAAAAGAAGUCAAAUUGUGCAAAUGAAAAUAUGGAAUCAGUUCAGAGCUGAGGUGCAAAGAUUGGUGCUGGCAGUUUUGCCAAUUGCUGCCAGGUUUCUGUGUUGCGUCUAUAAUUUUCCCUUUUCAGUAGUAUUGGAGAGUGAAGACUUUAUUAAAGGACGGGAACCUGAAGGAUCGGAAUAAAGUUGGAGUCGUUCGGCAGCUUUAUAAAGGAUUGACCUUACUGAGGAUUCAUUUUUAGAAAUGGUGACCUGUAUCUGAGAUAACUCCUGCAAGAGCAGGGAAGUUUGAGCAGUGUCUACUCGCCAGGAAAAGGUCAGUUCCUUUAAGCCGUAUUAUAUCCUUCAUCGUGAAUCCUUUGGAGAAUCAGCAGUAACGUCACAUCUUCGAAGAAAUCCGUUUCCAGAGAAGUCUCUCCUUAUCGACUGUGUAAAUCACUGGGACUUUUGCAUUUACCCUUUUAAGACUAGGUUUGAAUUUACCACUUUAAGAACUGUUUUUGCAUUUACCUUUUUAAUUACUGUUCCAGAGUUGCCGUAUAGCAGUUAACGUCCGGUUAUGUUAGUCGUUUGAAUAUUUUUCGCUAUUUGUUGA